rnacentral:lncRNA from 1 species
CAAUCCCUCAGAUACAUUCUUCUGUUUUGUUUGCCUGCAGGAGAAAAGAAGGCAUGUUCCUAGUAAAGGUGCUCUGUUCACUGAGCACAAAGAGAGUGGAAUAGUAAAAUCACAAGAAGUGAAGACAUUUAAGGAGGCAUCGAAACCCCUCAAAGUUGCUGCUGACCUUCAGCUCCAACCCCUGCUCAGGUCUUGGCACAAGCUGGCCCUAAGAGGGAGGGCUUGAAGGAGCACCAGCCCCACCCUUGGGGAAGUAACUCAUCUUCCUCAUCUGCCUGCCUGGGUCUCUGCUGCUGGCUAACACAUGCUUCUAAUCAUGGCUGUUUGGCUCUUGAAAGCUGAGAAUUCCCUGCCCCCACUUAGAGGUACCUGAUACCUUGUCUUGUCUGCAGAGCCAGGCUCACACAUCUCCUUGGUGACAUCUUUCCAAUUACCCAUCCCACCCUCUUUACAGGAAAAGUGAGCAAGUUCUUCCUUUGGGCUCCUGUGACACCCUCAGCUUACCUCACAUCUCUUUUGGGCCACACAAUGGCUUUCCGGGAGGAGAGUGCUUGGAAUGACGGGACAUCAGGACACCCGUCACAGAAACACACGACACAGCAGAGUGAAUAAAAGGACUUCUGUGU